rnacentral:rRNA from 1 species
AUUGAACGCUGGCGGCAUGCUUUACACAUGCAAGUCGAACGGCAGCACGGACUUCGGUCUGGUGGCGAGUGGCGAACGGGUGAGUAAUACAUCGGAACGUGCCCAGUUGUGGGGGAUAACUACUCGAAAGAGUAGCUAAUACCGCAUGAGAACUGAGGUUGAAAGCAGGGGAUCGUAAGACCUUGCGCAACUGGAGCGGCCGAUGGCAGAUUAGGUAGUUGGUGGGAUAAAAGCUUACCAAGCCGACGAUCUGUAGUUGGUCUGAGAGGACGACCAGCCACACUGGGACUGAGACACGGCCCAGACUCCUACGGGAGGCAUCAGUGGGGAAUUUUGGACAAUGGGCGAAAGCCUGAUCCAGCAAUGCCGCGUGCAGGAUGAAGGCCUUCGGGUUGUAAACUGCUUUUGUACGGAACGAAAAGCUUCGGGUUAAUACCCUGGAGUCAUGACGGUACCGUAAGAAUAAGCACCGGCUAACUACGUGCCAGCAGCCGCCGCAGUAA